rnacentral:rRNA from 1 species
AUUGAACGCUGGCGGCAUGCUUUACACAUGCAAGUCGAACGGCAGCGCGGGCUUCGGCCUGGCGGCGAGUGGCGAACGGGUGAGUAAUACAUCGGAACGUGCCCAGUAGUGGGGGAUAGCUCGGCGAAAGCCGGAUUAAUUCCGCAUACGACCUGAGGGUGAAAGCGGGGGAUCUUCGGACCUCGCGCUAUUGGAGCGGCCGAUGGCAGAUUAGCUAGUUGGUGGGGUAAAGGCCUACCAAGGCGACGAUCUGUAGCUGGUCUGAGAGGACGACCAGCCACACUGGGACUGAGACACGGCCCAGACUCCUACGGGAGGCAGCAGUGGGGAAUUUUGGACAAUGGGCGAAAGCCUGAUCCAGCAAUGCCGCGUGUGUGAUGAAGGCCUUCGGGUUGUAAAGCACUUUUGGCGGGAACGAAAAGGACUGUGCCAAUACCACGGUUCGAUGACGGUACCCGCAGAAUAAGCACCGGCUAACUACGUG